AGUAUCCCCAGGGUCAGGACUGGGCCUGGCUCCUUGCAGGUGCUCAUUAAACAUUUGGUUGAGUGAAUGAGUGAAUAAAUGAAUGAACAGACAGUUAAUACAGGACACUUCAUGAAGUAACCAGGGCUGGCAGGGCAUGGGAGUUUUCUCAACAAAGUGAGGCCCAGCUUAUUAUUCCAUAAGAAAGGCAGCCGCCAUCACCCUGACUGGAGGAACAUGCAUCUCUCAGACAGGUAAGAGAGCAGCAUCUUGGGAUGGAAAGCGAUUGUUGCUGAAGCAGGGCCUGCUUGCUUUGGAUGUCAACAGAGCACACGGAAGCUGCUGCCAUGCCCCAGCGUGCUCUGCACCUCUGUCCUAGAUGCCCUGAGGGGCCCAGAGGAGAGGGCAGCUCUUCCCAGGGAGGAAGAGAGACUGAGGCAGGGAAUGGAGGACAGCUCAGGAGUGAGGCCUGAGGGGGUGACCCCCACCCAAUCACACCCGCGCUGCUGGACGGCCUCGGGGAGCACCUUCCCAUGGGGAAAAGUAGUCAGGGCUUCCUCCCAUCCUUUCCUCAGCCUCCUCAGUCAUCCUCAACCCCCACCGCCCAGCCUUCUCCCCCGAGCUUGCCCUGUGCCCUGGGGGCUCAUGGUCUGGGACAAGCUGGGUACCCACCCCUACCCAGUCCCCUCUGAGUGCCACCGUGGCAUUGUGCCUUUGUGAGCACCUGCUGACACAGCCCUCCACCUGCCAUGGUGGAGGUGGCUUGUUCUCUAGUGCUCUGGCCCCUCAGGGUGGGUGGAGGGCACCGCUUGGGGGUCCCCCGGUCCCCAUUUCUGCUUCUCUGAGGCCUCUGUCCCUCUUCCUGCACAGAUCCUGCCCCUGUAAGACCCAGCCCCAUGGCUCUGCUCCUCCGGCUCUCCUGCAGAGGAGCCAGGGCUCUGCCAGGCUCAGGCUCCUGUUGGCUGCAACCCCGUGCCUGUGUCCCCUCCCCACUGGUCAUCCUCACUUAGGGACUGCAGAAUUCGCACAGGCGCCUCACCCGGCCGGGGUGACAUUCUCCACGAAUGUCACAAAUGUUCUUUCCCUCUACUUCAACCACCCAGCCCUGGGGUCACCUCUGGAUCUUGUCCUUCCUUAUCCAAAUCCCAUUUCCCAGCACCCAUCCUCUGAUGAUCCCUUCUUGCCCAGUCUCCUUGCUCCCAAGAUUCCUUCAUCUCAUCAAGACUCCUGGUCCAUCAAACCUAUACUUUCUGCCUAUUAAUAAGCCUGCUCACAGUGUCAGCUCAUUACCCACUUAGAUUUCAUGGUCAUAUGCAUUGCCACCCCCUUGCUGUCCCUCUGGGAUCCUCUGGGAAGUGGGUUGUAUUGAAUUUUCCAACCUAUGUGGACCUUCCAUGUGCGAUUCUGCAAUGUGACCUUGUCACUGCCCAUUGAGAGCUGGAGUCAAACUCCCCGCCCUUGAAUCUGGACUGGUUCUUGACCUGACUGUAACUAAAAGGACGCAGUGGAUGUAACACCCAGUGAAUUGCCAAGCUAGCUUGAAAUGACCAUGCAGCUGCCCCCUGGUUCUCUUGGGGUCCUCAUUCUGGGGAAGCCACUUAACCAAUAGGGAGUCCAAUUACCCCAAAGGUCCUUGCUGGAAAAGCCACAUGUAGGCUCUUAAAUCAAUAAUACCAGUGAACCCAGCCUUCCAGCAACCCUGCCAGGUGCCAGACAUGUGAGUGAAGCUGUCUUGGAUGCUCCCGACCAGUGAGUGACCUCCAUCAAUGCCGUGAGGAGCAGAAGAAUUACCCAGCUGAGCCCUGCCUGAAUUCACAACCUGGGAAACAUAACGAAGUUGCUGUCCUUUUAAGCCACUAGGCUUUGAUUUGCCCAGUCUUUGUAACAGGAAUAUUCUGCUUGAAGACCCCAGGCUCGGUUGGACCCAGUCUUCUGCCUCUUGUGUUGUGAUCUCUGAGCAGCUGGAGAAAAUCAGAAGCUGAGGAAGCUGAGAAACAGAUGGUGGGUGACCUGCCCAGACGGAGUAAGUGCGACUAGGUGCAGCCAGGCUGGCCCUGCUCUGUGGCCCCUUGUGAGGGGUAGAAGGUUAACCAGCCUUCUUGGCAAUGGGAUCCCUUGUGCAAUGUGGUCAUGAUUUGGAGAAUCCCCACCUUUUUCAUUUGCUUUCACGUUUCUGUGGCUGGAUCAACCGCUGCUGACUUGGGCACGGCCUCCCAGAAGGCAGCACCUUUUUGUGAGGCCGCCUGGAAGGUGGGGGAGUAUCUCGUUCCCCUCCCUGGAUAGAGGGAGCGGCUGCCCAGCAAGUGCCAGGAAAACACCUCCUGGUGUUGAUAAGUACCUUUGGAUGAGGGCAUCCUCGUGCUACAGGCGAGAUGUGCAUGCCCGGGGUCUCCCAGACGUGGAGCGACAGCUGCCUUCCUCUGCAGCCGUGGCCACUCUGUCCUCCUCUUUGGAGCAGCUGCGUCAGGAUCUCCAGCGGCUUCCUGAGGAAACCGCAGCAAACACCUACUACAAUCGUGUUGAAGGCUCCCGAGACAGAGGCUGUGCAUCGCGGUAGAGACAAGGCUCCUGAGUUGUGGCUGACUCACUGCCAGGACUUCUUGCCUUAGAGACAUUUAUUUCUCUGCUGACUGCAUCUUUAGAAGUCUUGCCAAGAAUUCUUUGAAAUGCACCAGUGAAGCCAUCCUUGCCAGAAGCAUUCCAAGCUAAGGGAAAAGUGUAUUUUCUCCCUUCCUCAGCCUCAACUUCGAAUUGAUGCAUCAGGGACACACGGAAGCCACCUCCCUUCUUCCUCUUGAGUGCAGGGCUUCUCAAGCUGCGAUGUGCACAAGUCUCGGGACAGACGCAAGCCCCACGUGCAGAGGUCUGGUCCACUAAGGCUCAGUAGGACCCGAGACUUUGCAUCUCUAACAGCUCGUGGCGAGGCUGCUGCCACCAUGGACCACAUGCUGAGAGAUGCACUGUUCUGGGUGAGCUUCAGGACAAGAGCCUGUAUUCAGCCUGGAUUCUAAGUUCAGUUUCCCACGGAUGCCAUGGUGCUUCCUCCUCCUGCACUCUCCCUGCCAGUCACGGUGCCACAUCAGCUGAGCCUGGACCGGUCUUCAGAAUCCUUCCUGACACAAUCCUUUUGGCCGCCACCAGCCACCAAUGAGAGCUGACACGCAGAUAAACCCACUAUCAUCUUUAAGUUGGUGGAGCAGGCACUGUUCUAAAACUCAGAGAACAUGGACUGACUCGUGAUAGGGCCAGGAACUAUGUAUGGGGACUCCAGACGAGGUGCUAACCUCACCGUUCUUCAGGGGCCUUGCCUGUCCAAUGAGAGGGCUGGAUUGGGUUGAUGGGCUGAUUCUAAGAAGCACACUGUGUUUGUUUGUAAGAAGGCUUGCAGAUGGCAGCCUUCUUGCUAUGUCAGCUCUGGAGGCUGGAAGUCUGAGGUCAAGGUGUAGGGCAGGUAUGGUUCCUCCGGAGGCCUCGCUCUGCUGGCAGAUGGCUGCCUUCUCGCUCUGUCCUCACGUGCCACUUAUCUGUGUAUGAGCAUGUCUGGUAUCUCUUUUCAUAAAGGGCACUAAUCCCAUCACGAGAGCCCCAAACUCACGACCUCAUCUAGAUCUAAUUGUCUCCCAAAAGCUGCAUCUCCAAACACCAUCACAUUGGGGUGUAGGGCUUCAGCACAUGAAUCUGGGGGGAUACAAUUCAGUUCACAGCACAAAUGGAUAGUUUGUUUUAAAACACAGCUCUCUGGGUUCUUCCUCUAGAAGGUCUUAUUCAGUCUGUCUGGAGUGGGAUCCAGGAACUGUAUUCUUUGCAGGCACCCCACAUGACUCUCAGCCUCCCAGCUUGAGAAGCUCUGGGUGAGUUCCCCAGUUUCUGGGCAGUGAGCUGUGGGGUCCUUGUGAGUCCCAACAGUUACUUGUUCCUCUCUGAAAAAGUGCCUCGUCCACUUCGCAUAACCACUGACACUCCACAGAGAACCCAGCUUACCAGUAUGUGGAUCUCUAGCCCAGCACCCCUCCUGGAGCAGGGUACACAGUAGGCACACAAUUGAUGUUUAUUGAGGGUCUUGCUCAGGACCCCUUCUAACUUCAAAGGUCUUUGAAAUGUGCAAAUUGUCUUUGAAGAGCCCCGAAGGGGUUAUCUGACAGUGUGUAGGGAAAAGGCAGCAGGCUGACUUUGUGUUUCCCCUCCAGGAGGCUUAAACUAAAGGGACCACAUUUUCAUUUCCCUCUCCAAGCAGCACAAAGUGAGAUAACCUGAUCUGGACAAUGAAUAAACACAGGCCCAGGGAACAGAUUGCCCCUCCAAGACCUCUGGUUGGCUGCUUCUUUCUCUCGUUCCCUGCUGACUACAAGGCCAACAGUGAAAGCAGAGGAAGGGCAGUAAGUGGGGCUUCCUUAGGACAGCGCAGUCCAUGGGAACGUGGGGACACUUGUCUCCAUUCUUCAGUCCAUGAGGUGUAAUGAGGAAGGGAAGGGGAUGUGGAAAGAGUUUCUCUGUUAAAAGUGGGACUGAGAGGAAGGAGAUGUAAUGCAAAGUAGUUGAACUGAUAUACAGCAAAUUAUAAACCAUUCCUGAAAAACCACAAUGAGAUAUUACUACACACCUAGUAGACCAGGUGUGUUCUACUAGUGACAAAAUAAAGAACAAUGACAAUGCCCAAUGCUGGUGGUGAUGCAGAGAAACUGGCUUUCUCUCAGACAUUCUUGGGGGGUGUCAAAUAGUAUAGCCAUGCUGGAAAAUUGUUGAGCAGUUUCUUAUAAAACUAAACAUACCGUGUGGUCUAGUCAUCAUACCCCUGGGCAUUUAUUCCAGAGAAAUUAAAAUUUAUGUCGACACAAAAACAUGUACCGUAAUGUUCAUAUUAGCUUUAUUUGUAAUUACCAAAAAUUGUAAACAACCCAAAUAUCCUUCAAUGGAUCAACAGUUAAAUGUUCUGGAACAUUCAUACCAUGGAAUUCCACCCAGCAAUAAAAAAAGCACUUUUGCUACCUGCAACAACUGAGAUGGAUUGCAAGGGUGUAGUGCUGAGUGGGAAAAAGUUUAAUACUGUAUGAUCACAACAUUUUUGAAAUGACAAAAUCAUAGAGAUGGAGAUGAGAUUAGGGGUUGCCAGAGGUUAGGGAGUAGAAGAAGAGGGAGGGGUGUGGACUGGCUAUAAAGAGGUGGUAUAAAGAAUACUUAUGGUAGCAGAAUUGUUACUAAAAGAGCAUAGACACACACACACAAGUGCAUGUAAAACUGGUGACAUACAUGGGACUUUGGUAUUACUUUUGCAAUCUCCUGUGAACCUAUGCUUGUUGAAAAAAAAUUUCUGAAAAGGAAAAUAAAUAAUUAAAAAUGUGUUUUCUCACAGUGGAAGUUCAUUAUAAUUAUUGGGGAAAGUGAUUUCUUUCUCUUUUGGAGUGGAGCACACCACUUUGGUUUCUUCAACACAAAUGUAUUAUUUGUCACUGUAAAAGGCAAACAUUGUAUAGAAUAGAGAACCCCGAGAAUAAAGUUUUCCAUAUGUGGUCAAAUGAUUUUCAGCAAGGAUGCCAAGACCAUCUAAUGCGGAAAGGAUAGUCUUUUGAAAAAACAGUGCUGGGAAAACUGGACAUCCGCAUAUAAAAGAAUGAAGUUGGAUCCUUACCUUACACCAUAUGCAAAAAUUAGCCAAAAAUGGAUCAAAGACCUAAAUAUAAGAGCUAAAACUAUAAAGCUCUUAGAAGAAAACUUGGGGGAAAACUUCAUGACAUUGUAUCAGCAAUAGUUUUUUGGAUAUGAUGCCAAAGUCAGAGAAUAGAAAAGAAAAACAGAUAAAUUGGAUUUGUUGAAAUUAAAAAGCUUUGUGCAUCAAAGGACACCAUCCGCAGAGUGAAAAGGCAGCCCACAGAAAGGGAUUAAGUAUUUGCAACUCAUAUAUUUGAUCAGGGAUUAAUAUCUAGAACCUGUAAAGAACUCCUACAAGUCAACAACAAAAAACACACAACCCAGUUUUUAAAAAUGGGCAAAGGGCUUGAAUAGACAUUUCUCUAAAGGAGAUAUACAACUGGCCAAAAAGCACAUGGAAAGAUGCCAGCAUCACUUAUCAUUAGGGAAAUGCAAAUGGAAACCUCAAUGAGAUAUCACUUCACACUUAUUAGCGUGGUUACUAAGAAAAAAACCCCCCAAACCAAGUGCUGAUAAGGAUGUGGAGAAAUUGGAAGCUUGUGUGCUACCACAGAGAAUGUAGAGUCAUGUAGUCACUGGGGAAAAUGGGAUGGUGAUUCCUCAAAAAAUUAAAUGUAGAAUUACCACAUGAUCCAGCAGUUCUACUUCUGGGUAUAUAUCCAAAAGAAGUGAGAGCAAGGACUCAAACAGAUAUUUGUACAGCCAUGUUCAUAGUGACAUUAUCAUGACAGCCGAAAGAUGGAAAUGACCCAAGUGUCUGUGGAUGAAUAAAUGGACAAACAAAUGCAGUGUAUGCAAAUAAUGAAAUAUUGUUUAGCCUUAAAAAGGAAUGAAAUUCUGAUAACGUGGUGAACCUUGAAGACAUUAUGCUAAUAAGCUGGACACAAAGGACAAAUAUUGUAUGAUUCCACUUAUAUAGGUACUUAGGGUAG